rnacentral:lncRNA from 1 species
CUACUGAAUGGUGAUUCAAGUAAUGGGUGGAAUAGCAAAUUAGAGAAAUGUUUCAAUUUUACCCUCACCAUUCUCCUCUCUUUCUCACAAUCUGAAAUCCCCAACUCAUAUAUUCUCUUUCACCAGAUUUCUUCUUCAUCGUUUUCACUUUCACCAGAUUUCUUCCUCGACAUUACCCUCACCAGAUUUCUUCUUAACUGACGACAAAUCAAGCAUCCAUUCGCCAUUUCAUCUUCCUUCUAGUUGAACCUUCUUAUUUACAGUAAAAGGAAGAUAUACGGGAAAAAGCUUGGGCUAAGUAUAGUGUGUAUGCCAUCGCUCUGUUCCAGUUAUCUCCAAAUCCACCUCCAAUAACCCCUUUGAUUUUGAUUUCAUCUUUUUCUUUUUCCUUCUCAAC